UCGGGUGUGGUGCAUGGCGCACAGCAGCGGAUAAUGGAUAUUUUCUAUAUAUGCCCGUCCAUGUACAGGCUGCAGUCCGGGGUUCGAAUCCCCGCACCCGAA